GUGGAUUAGAUACCCUGGUAGUCCACGCUGUAAACGAUGUCAACUAGCCGUUGGUCCUAUAUACAGGAUUAGUGGCGCAGCUAACGCAUUAAGUUGACCGCCUGGGGAGUACGGCCGCAAGGUUAAAACUCAAAUGAAUUGACGGGGGCCCGCACAAGCGGUGGAGCAUGUGGUUUAAUUCGAUGCAACGCGAAGAACCUUACCUACCCUUGACAUCCAGAGAAUCUGUUAGAGAUAGUAGAGUGCCUUCGGGAGCUCUGAGACAGGUGCUGCAUGGCCGUCGACAGCU
rnacentral:rRNA from 1 species